UUAGUCAUUUAGUAAAGCUAAAGAAUUUUUCUUUAUUUAAACUUGCAUCCUUGAAUACCUUCUUUGUGGUGUAAGAUGUAGCUUGACUUAAUUGUGCAUAGAUUUAUCAUCUUUCCUUAAGAGUAUGUUGGUUGUGCAUUUUUAUUUGAUUUAGAUUACAUAUUUUAUGAUUGAUUUAUGGCACUUAAUAUGUUGAGUAUAAAAAUCUUUAUUUACAUAAAACAUACCUAUAAAUUGU
rnacentral:lncRNA from 1 species